UACCCACUUACAAUAGGCAAAGAGAUACCUUUUUGGUGCUAUUUUUCUUAUACCAGUCAGGGGUAGAGCAGAUGGCAGUCCUUUGUUCAUCUUUAACUUGAUGUCUGACUGAGUGGCUGUUUUAUACAUAGGACACAUAA